GACGAACGCUGGCGGGCGCCUAACACAUGCAAGUCGAACGGAGCUGUUUCUCUGAAGUUUUCGGAUGGAAGAGAGUCAGCUUAGUGGCGAACGGGUGAGUAACACGUGAGCAACCUGCCUUUCAGUGGGGGACAACAUUUGGAAACGAAUGCUAAUACCGCAUAAGACCACAGUGUCGCAUGGCACAGGGGUCAAAGGAUUUAUCCGCUGAAAGAUGGGCUCGCGUCCGAUUAGCUAGAUGGUGAGGUAACGGCCCACCAUGGCAACGAUCGGUAGCCGGACUGAGAGGUUGAACGGCCACAUUGGGACUGAGACACGGCCCAGACUCCUACGGGAGGCAGCAGUGGGGAAUAUUGCACAAUGGGGGAAACCCUGAUGCAGCGACGCCGCGUGGAGGAAGAAGGUCUUCGGAUUGUAAACUCCUGUCCCAGGGGACGAUAAUGACGGUACCCUGGGAGGAAGCACCGGCUAAC
rnacentral:rRNA from 1 species